rnacentral:rRNA from 1 species
AUUGAACGCUGGCGGCAGGCUUAACACAUGCAAGUCGAGCGAGCGGCGGACGGGUGAGUAAUGUCUGGGAAACUGCCUGAUGGAGGGGGAUAACUACUGGAAACGGUAGCUAAUACCGCAUACCAUCAGAUGUGCCCAGAUGGGCUUAGCUAGUAGGUGGGGUAAUGGCUCACCUAGGCGACGAUCCCUAGCGGGUCUGAGAGGAUGAACAGCCACAGUGGAACUGAGACACGGUCCAGACUCCUACGAGAAGCAGCAGUGAGGAAUGUUGCACAAUGGGCGCAAGUCUGAUGCAGCCACGCCGCGUGUGUGAAGAAGGCCUUCGGGUUGUAAAGCACUUUCAGCGAGGAGGCGUGACUGACAGAAGAAGCACCGGCUAACUCCGUGCCAGCAGCCGCGGUAAUUC